GAUCGAUCUCGAUCUCGACGAUCCAGUCCACUGUUGCGCUCGUUGUCGCCAAAUUGAUGAGAACAAUCAGCGGAUUGAUGCACAAGAUGCAUAACCGGUUUCUUUUUCUUCGUGCCGAGAGGUAUGUGUUCGUUGUUCUUUGAAUGAUGUGAGGCUUUUCGCUGCGCAAUCUCUGGUUCCUGCGGUUCUUGAUUUCCACCCCUUGUUUUGGUCGAUUCGUUCCGUUGAUUUCAAGAACCACCUUUCGUUUAUUUCUCGAAAGCCAUUCUCGAUGCUGAAUUCAGAAUGCGCGCAGUUUUCUUGCAUAAAAAUCGAAGCGGAGCGUGUUCUUUUGUUGCUUUCUUUUCAGACAUUGUGGUUUCGCUUUGGCGUCGAUCUUUUUGGAAUUGAAGUGAUAAAACCCAAACUCAGCUUCCGUUUCUUUUGUUCUUGAUUUCAAGAACGAGUAGUGGGGGUGAAAUGUAGAUGGAAGAUACAACAUGUGGCGCAAAUUAAAUAGGGUAUUUCUUGGAAUUUCAUCUUCAAUCUACAACAUGAUGCAAGAUUAAUAGUAAGUAAAAAGAUCACCCUAAAUACCAUGCCAGAAACACGUCCUUUACAUUAUUGUGGAUAAUAAUUCUGUCAAAUUGUUGCUUAUCUGCUUCACCAACAUUGAAUGUAUAAGUUCAGUUAAGGAUGCAAAUUCUGUAGAUCCUUAAUUAAUCUGAACUGCCCACAUGAUUUAGUUAAUAAACUCUGUGAUUUAUGCAUUUUUAUUCGCAAGAUGGAUGGAUGUUCUUGAGGUACCCUUGAUGCAAAUUCCAUAGACCUCCUUCAUAAGAAAAACAUCCAUCAUAUUUUCUUCAUACUAAAAUAAUAAAUAUCGAGAAAUCGAUUUGGCCUACUUAAGCAUUUAUGUUUUAAUUGAAAGCUUGACAUCCUAUACUGUAGGCCUUCAAGAUGUUCCAUUGCUUUCAAUACCAAAAGGUGCUAGGGAAUGCUGAGCCAGACUUCAAGAUGUUCCAUUGAUUGUUACAAGGCUCUACCAGAAGCAUUCUCAUGGACAGCACCAACCGAAUGAAGAAAGAGUAUCAUCUCUUCCCAUAUGUGCAAAUGGCGUUAAGAUGAGCAUUGACUCAAGUGCAUCACUCUCUGUUUCUGACACACUAAUCCUGGCUUGCAAUUCAUGGCAAAGAGGAAUGCACACUGGAAUCUGCAACAAAACAAGGACCUUUCUGCAUCUCUCUCAUGCGUUCCAAGAUAUUCAUACAAGUAUGUGAUUUAUUGAUUUUCUGCUGUCGUUAAAUAAUUUAUUGGUUUUCAAAAUAGAUUGAUUAUGUUACAUAGGAUUUAUUAAGCUGAAGUCCAAGAGAUUAACCACUUAACUUCCAAGAUGAAAUUUCUUCCUUUUUUUUCAAUGCAUGACUUAUAUCUGAAUGAAAGCUCUACUAUCCCUUAAAUAUUUUGCAUUCACAAAUUCUCGGGCAACUUCAAAUUAGGAAACUUACCUCCAAUGUCUUUCUUGAAUUUACUAUUAUUUAUUGAACUUAGGACUUGGGUGAAUCAAAUCAACUUUCAAAGUUU
rnacentral:lncRNA from 1 species